rnacentral:rRNA from 1 species
GAUGAACGCUGGCGGCGUGCGUAACACAUGCAAGUUGAACGACGGUGUCAUGAAGUGGUAACACGGAAUGGCAUACGGAGUAGCGGACGGGUGAGUACAACAUGAGAAGCUGUCCUUCAGUGGGGGGCAACGUCUGGAAGCGGACGCUAAUACCCCAUAGGCCGAGAGGUUAAAGCAGAGAUGCGCUGGAGGAGGUGCUCGUGCCCUAUCAGCUAGUUGGUGAGGUAACGGCUCACCAAGGCGACGACGGGUAGCCGGCCUGAGAGGGUGAACGGCCACACUGGAACUGAGAUACGGUCCAGACUCCUACGGGAGGCAGCAGUGGGGAAUAUUGGGCAAUGGGAGGAAUCCUGACCCAGCGACGCCGCGUGAACGAUGAAGGCCUUAGGGUUGUAAAGUUCUUUUAUGUGGGAAGAAGGAAGUGACGGUACCACAUGAAUAAGCCCCGCUAACUAAC